rnacentral:rRNA from 1 species
UGCUUCGGAUUGAUACUAAGCCAUGCGAGUAUUGUAGUAAUACAAGGCAGACGGCUCAGUAACGCGUAGUCAACCUAACCUAUGGACGGGAAUAACCUCGGGAAACUGAGUAUAAUGCCCGAUAGAACAUUAUGCCUGGAAUGGUUUAUGUUCCAAAUGAUUUAUCGCCGUAGGAUGGGACUGCGGCCUAUCAGUUUGUUGGUGAGGUAAUGGCCCACCAAGACUAUUACAGGUACGGGCUCUGAGAGGAGUAGCCCGGAGAUGGGUACUGAGACACGGACCCAGGCCCUAUGGGGCGCAGCAGGCGAGAAAACUUUGCAAUGUGCGAAAGCACGACAAGGUUAAUCCGAGUGGUUUCUGCUAAAGGAACCUUUUGUCGGUCCUAGAAACACCGAUGAAUAAGGGGUGGGCAAGUUCUGGUGUCAGCCGCCGCGGUAAAACCAGCACCUCAAGUGGUCAGGAUGAUUAUUGGGCCUAAAGCAUCCGUAGCCGGCUCUGUAAGUUUUCGGUUAAAUCUGUAUGCUCAACAUACAGGCUGCCGGGAAUACUGCAGAGCUAGGGAGUGGGAGAGGUAGACGGUACUCGGUAGGAAAGGGGGUAAAAAUCCUUUGGAUCUAUUGAUGACCACCUGUGGCGAA